CCUACGGGAGGCAGCAGUAGGGAAUCUUCCACAAUGGGCGAAAGCCUGAUGGAGCAACGCCGCGUGGGUGAAGAAGGUCUUCGGAUCGUACAACCCUGUUGUUAGAGAAGAAAGUGCGUGAGAGUAACUGUUCACGUUUCGACGGUAUCUAACCAGAAAGCCACGGCUAACUACGUGCCAGAAGCCGCGGUAAUACGUAGGUGGCAAGCGUUAUCCGGAUUUAUUGGGCGUAAAGGGAACGCAGGCGGUCUUUUAAGUCUGAUGUGAAAGCCUUCGGCUUAACCGGAGUAGUGCAUUGGAAACUGGGAGACUUGAGUGCAGAAGAGGAGAGUGGAACUCCAUGUGUAGCGGUGAAAUGCGUAGAUAUAUGGAAGAACACCAGUGGCGAAAGCGGCUCUCUGGUCUGUAACUGACGCUGAGGUUCGAAAGCGUGGGUAGCAAACAGGAUUAGAUACCCCUGUAGUC
rnacentral:rRNA from 1 species